rnacentral:rRNA from 1 species
GAUGAACGCUGGCGGCGUGCUUAACACAUGCAAGUCGAGCGAAAAGACGAGGAGCUUGCUCCUCUGACGUUAGCGGCGGACGGGAGAGUAACACGAGGAUAACCUACCUAUAAGACUGGGAUAACAUCGGGAAACCGGAGCCAAAAACGGAUAAUAUAUUGAACCGCAUGGUUCAAAAGCGUAAGCCGGUUUUGCUGGAACUUCUAGAUGGAUCCGGGCUGGUUUAGCUAGUUGGUAAGGUAACGGCUUCCGAAGGCCACGUUGGGUAGCCGACCCGAGGGGGUGUUCGGCCACACUGGAGGUGAACCGCGGCCCAGGCUCCUACGGGAGGCACCAGUUGCGAAUCUUCCGCAAUGGGGGGAAGCCUGCCCGAGCGGCGCCGCGUGAGUGAUGAAAGUCUUCGGAUCGUAAAACUCUGUUAUUGUUGAAAAACAAAUGUGUAAGUAGCUAUGCACGUCGUGACGGUACCUGAUCAGGAAGCCACGGCUAACUACGUG